UCGAGGACACCAACCUGUGCGCCAUCCACGCGAAGCGCGUCACCAUCAUGCCCAAGGACAUCCAGCUGGCCCGGAGGAUCCGAGGGGAGAGGGCCUAGGAAGGAAAAGCCCUCCCAGCCAUGGCUUGGGCGGACAAACCCUGCUGCGGCAAUCAUCUCACUAUCCAAUUCAAAGCUCAUCUCGGAUCCCAGGCCCCCCUCCCCCCCUUCCCUAAGCAAAUUUCAGUUCUUUGUGAUUGGGGAUGGCUUGGCUGAUGUUGUUCACUAAGUAAAUGUGCCUAUUUAGUAGUUUAUUGGGUAGGGUUUCCUUUCCCAGGACGACGACGGCUCCUCCCUCUCCCCUCCCCGGAGUCCGUUCCCUGCAUAGUAGCUUAAUGUGGAAGUUCGUGCUCCCCCUCCUGUGCAACCCCUUAUGCGAUGUUACAGAACCUCAUUCUUCUCUCCAUCUGGGUGUUAGUCCCUUCUGUUGGAUCUCGUUCUGUUUGGUACUAAAAAUGGCAUCUGUGAUCGUCGGGCAGCACCUGGGAAUUCAACGCGGGAGUUCUUCCCAAAGUUAACAUGAUUCGUCAGCCCUGUUAAAACGAUUUACGGUGGCGGUUCUUAUUGAUAUAGCCGACAUGACCCAAAGACAAGGCCUACACCGUCAGUCAAACAAGAGAGCUCGCAUUGUGUUGGCGUUCUUCUUAGCGUUUGCGGGGGGGGGGCAGGGGGAGGAAGAAGAGGGUUCGAGCAGAUCCCAAGCUGCCGGCCCGAGUCAAAAUUUUUAUUGAGUAGAGAGAUGCUCCUCUGGCCUGGGAGUCCCGUUGACCAGAAGCCGCCUACAGGGGGCCCGGGAAUGUGCCGUUCUCCCUCUGCUCGUUCCACCGUUCCACCUGCAAGNNNNNNNNNNNNNNNNNNNNUAGAUAUGUGUGUGUGUGUGUGUGUGUGUGUGUGUGUGUGGAAAGAUGCCUUGAAAGUCUUCCAAGAGGGGGGGGGAGAAUCUCCAAGAACAAGCCAGGAAAUAAGCAAGGGAAUGUGAGAAUUUUCCCCUGUAUAGAAAAAAAAUGUAUGCUGGCAUGGCAGGCGUAAUAUGUAGAGUGGCCCCAGCUCCUGACUAUAUUGAUGUGGAGGGAUUGGAUGUUCUUCGCAUUUGCCUAUUUCUUGAUGCCCAGACAAAAAAAGAAAGUCAACGGUGCUCAUGAGAGCAGUUACCCAUUCAUCCUGUUGCCCGUGGUGACAAGUACAAGGGAAAAUGGAGGCCAUGAUUGUCGCCCCAGAUAACUUUCAAUCAAGACUUAGGACUCCAUAAAUGGAACACUGAAAGAGCUUUCAAAAAGCACCUCAAUAAUGGAUCAUCUCGUACUACAAGUUUUGAAAUUCACUCCAAAAAAAGUAUGAUCCAAGUAUUCGAUAGCCCAAAUUUUCUCUAGUGCCUAAAAUUUUUUCAACAUCUCAAAGCAUGUUCUUUCAGCAUUAAACAAGAGCGUAAGUUCGUUGGAAUUAAUUCACUAUGUGAAAGAACUCUAAGAUAAUGUUAGUGCCAGGAAUAGAAGGUCAAGCUAAUACUUUGGUGUCUACAUUUGAUGUGUCAACUUUAUCAUGCAUGGGAUUUGCUGAUCAUAGUAAUCUAAUUAACCCGGACAUAGUAAUCUCUUCAAAAGGUUAGAUCGGCAGCUGCAGCGUGCCAGGAACCUAAUAUUUCUGAAUUAAUGUGACGGCCAUGAAAGCAUUUCGGGAAAAAAAUAAAAUAUUAUGUGAUAGUUGAAAGCAUAUCUCAUGUCCACCUAAAUGAUCUCGAAUAAUAGUGAUGGUGAUUAAAUGAGCUUGAAUCCAAGUCCACAGGGACAUCCAAAUCUUAGUCAUGAGGAGAAGGAAGCUCAACAAGCAUCUUGACCGAUGUAGAUCGCAACAAUAGAAAGCUCUUUAAUCGUACUAAAGGAUCAAGGCCUAUCUCCAUUAACGUCGCCACUGGUCAACCAAAAGAAGGCAACUAAAUUUGUGAGCUUACUGCCAUGAAUCUUGCAAGCUUCCCAAUGUUUCUUAUGCCCUUUAGAACAGACGCGCUGCAAUAUUUUACCACGAGGCUCCUUUAUUUCUAUUAGCAAGCCCUGUCUUACCAACGCAGCGUUACGAGGUGUCAUCGGCGUGGCAACUCCACAGGGAGUUGACCCACAGCACAAGAUGCUGCCAUACUCUAGGAAACACUACGGGCUAAAUAAAAGCUGCCCGGAGAAAAAAAGGGUGAUUCGACAAAUAAUAACUCCAGGAAACAUGUUCAGCUUUGAUCUUGAACAGAAGACCUCGGAGAAUUUUUCUGCGGGCAGCAAUUACAUGGGCAUCAAACUUCAGGAACUAGUAAAAAAGGAGCCCCAUCUAAAUUUCCUUUCUGAUGUGCGCAGCAAUAGCUAUGUGGGAAACAGCAAGGGUGCAUGCCCAAUAUGGUCCUGGAGACGAUUCCACACAGGAAUAAAUAUCUUUGCAUUUAAUUAUCGUGACAUCUUAACAGCAGCACACGAAUGAGCCAAAGGCCAUUUAGCGAGAUUAAAACACACCAGCGAGAGAAAAAAGAUAGACGGAAAAAAAAAUGACAAGUCAACGGGCCUCACAAUCUUGUUUGAAUGAAAAAACUUGAAGUCGUAGAGAUGAUAUUAGUGAACAUACCCAUUCACUGGGACAGAGUGAACGAUAAUACUUUGCGAACUUAUCACACUCCGGCGCGCCUUCACCCUUUGCAUUUAUGCACCUAAAUUAACACAUAAUCAUCAAUCACAACGUUUUCCUUGUUAUGGAAGAGAUUUGGGGUUACAGCAACAUGAUACGGACAUGUGGGCAAUAUUAACUACUAUUUUGAAGCUUGACAAAGCUCACAGAUGUACAGUUCUACCUGUGAUAUUCAACAUAGCGAGUAAAGCAAUGCCUCGUCUGGUUUGUCGUUGGGAAACGGAAGUCUGCGGGUGCUGUCUCAAGCUGAAAUAAAAAUAAAGAUUUUUUCAUGAGUAUGUCCUUCACUGACUCUCUAAAAUUAUCAUGGCUAGCGUAUAGAAAACUAGUCUCUUUAAAAUGAUACCUUGACAACUGGGGUCUCUUCAGAAGCUUCUUCCUCUACAGAUUCUGGCUCAUUAGCUUCAGCGGUCUCCUCUGCAGCAGGGGUUUCAUCACUUUGCUCUGUAAAUGCUUCCUCAGGUGAAGCAUCAUUCUCUGCAGCAGGGGGAUUUUCAUCCUCUGCAGCGGGGGGAUUUUCAUCCUCCGCAGCAGGUGUCUCAUUCUGCUUCGGAUCCUCUGCGGCCUCUUUCAAGUCAACAUCCUCGACUGUUCCUUCAGGGAUCACACUCUUAUCCGCAUUCUCUUUACCCUCCACUGACCAUUGCUGCACAUGAAAUCAUGAAGAAGAUUCAGCAUUGGAACAAAUCAAAAAGAAAAAAAUACAUAAAACUGCAUUAACAAAUCGGUAAUCAUUGAUAAUCCGGUUUAAAAGGGAAUUAUUCUUAUAAGUCAAAACUCAAAACAAGAGAAGCCGCGGUUUCGAACAUUAACUAUGAGAUUCCCCACAGCCGAAAAUCAUGAUUUGAGUUUUUCAUAUUUCAAUGGGAAAAUAGUAUGCUGCACUGGUCAGAUUGUUGAAACAGGGCAUGACUUUGAUUUACCUUGGGAAAGUGUAUUUUAUCUUCGAAUUAUUGGUAUCCAAUCUAUCAGAAAAUUGCAACAAGAUCUGCUAUAGAAAAUGGCAACAAAAACCAUAAAUUACAUGAAGAAAAGUUUAAACUCUUGAAUAUGAUCCGCGACAUUCAACUUAACUUUAAAUUCUUGAAUUAUUUCACGCUUUUUUCUACCAUCAAAUACAAGUCGUUAUAUAGUCGCGUCCCUUUUAUGCUGGUGGAGUUCAAGUCCAAAACCAAGAGGUCUUCUCCUGAAAAACACCUAUAUUCUUUCCAAUUCAUGACAUUGAACCACAUCUGCGAUUUGUGGGGCACUGCUCAACAGGAAACCUGUGUUGGUAAUCAUAAAACCAAAUGUAGGAGAGAAAUAUGGAAUCCUCACACAAUGCCAUGUGAAAAAUCCACUUCAAUCCAUAAAUGCUUCAAAGUAAUGUCAUCUUCCCCGCAUGUUUGCCAAGCUCAUAUUUCAAGAAAAACCUCUCAAUCACGGUAUUUUGAGAAGACACCAACAAUCCAAAGAUUUUCUCUCACAUCAUCGCCUUAUUUACUUUGUGAACCAGAAGACUAUACUCUAACUUAGCAUGCCAAUUAGCCCUAUAAAACAGCACGGCCUCCAAUUUGUACAGCUUUCUCUAUAAUACCCUUGACAUCUUUUUCUACUAUGAAGAACACACUAAUUCUGUGGCCCUUUUCAAAGGCAAAAUUUGGCCAUUUGCCAAAUCUCAUAGUCGCAGUCAAAUUUCCUCAUUUCUCAGUUUUCUACGCAAACACUAACCGUCUUCCAAAUAUCUGAAGCAAUUAACCUCUCACUCUGUUUAGUAGAUAACAAUCUGAAUGUAGAACUGCCUAUAGUUGGCGCACUUAAUACCCACGCGAUCUGUUUGACUCAAACGAUGUACUUCAAAAUCUAUGAUACCGCAACCAAUUAUGACGAAAUACAAAUUUACAAAAGAAAAUAAAGCAUAUGCCGUAUUUCUUAUGGACCAAUCUGCUUCAAAAACAAAGAAAAACAACUAGACUACCAAAGAAAACGGGUCGUAUCAAAUGUCACUAGUAGUCACAACUGUUCAGAUGUCGAACUAAUAUAUAAAAUUCGCAUUGUUUUACUGGAAGAGACGCAUGUGAAGCUUAUUUAUCUAUUUACACCCGAACAGUGACAUCAGAACAGCAACGUCAGAUACCGUGUGACCAGUGAUUCUCAUUAUCCUAACUGGACGUUCAGGAGAAUUAUGGUUUCGCACGACAACUUCCAACAUGAACAUGAUUUUCAUAAAAUAAAAACAUCAUUAAAAAUAGGUAAAAAGAAAAUACAGGGCAAAAUAACGGAAACAGCCGGGUAUCACAUAAGGACACACGAGGAAAACAUAAAGAUGCAGUCUUCACAAGAUAGCAAUUCGAAUUAAAAUAACCCUGGAAAAAAUAAGAGUUACUUCUCGAAACAAACAGGCCAACAAGCCCCUGUGCAUGAAAAAUAUCAUGGUCGUCAACGAGGUCAAUAGCAUAAUAAUCCCCAGGGCCAAUCGCGUGCGUACAAUGAUGUAAUGUCCUAGACGUGUAAUUGGCGAAUACAUAUGGCAUUAACGUCAUAGCAUUCAUAAAAAAUGCCAGUACUGGAGAGGUCGGACCAAAUAUAGAUAUGGAAAAAUUGUAGCGAGAGUGAAAGGGAAAGAAAAAAAGAGAAUACUAUGCUUCGCUGUAGAAGAAUCCAAUGUGGGUAAUCACUAAAGGGUCAAAUAUAACAGAGGGCUAUUUUGUGAACAAAUGAGGAAGUAGACAUCGACAACACCUAGCAAAGAAGGGAUCAUGGGCAAGUCUGUGUUCAACAGUGAUCUGAUCCAUGCACAUUAGCUGUCUUCAAGAGCAUCAGACACUAGAACACCCAGUCACACGUGUACAUAUCCAUGCGAACAAGUGCACACAAACAUGCACAUGCGACAUGUAGAAAGGUGGCAUUCAUGAGCAUGCAAAACAUGGAGAUCAUCAACCUGUUGGAAUAUGGCUUAAUAGUAGCAGAAGCAGCAGCAGCAGACAGUUGAUUAUGGGCAUCACCCAAGUUCUGAGAAUGUCUGACCGGACAAUGGGCCUUUCAAUUAAAAAUCCCAUUCACAGCUCGCCGGUGUCCCGAGAUCCAGCGUGGCCCAACACUCCAAGACGGUAAAAAUCAAAGAGGUUUUAGAUCUCAUUAGAAGAAAAUGGAGAAAUGACAUUAUCUUAUUUUUUUCCUGAAAUUCAACAAGAGGCCGAAUUCCUUCGAGCAAUUCCCGUAUCAGUUAGAUAGACUAUUGAAUUGGUUUCUUGAUGUGAGGAUUCUACGGCUGAAUGCUGUACAUGAUAAAGGAGAUGAAGAAUAGAGAGUCGCUGUUCCAUAAGCCCGUGGACUUUAUCUCUAUAAAAAAAUUUGAUUCUUCAUUGAUCCCCCAUAGUUACAGAAGAUAUUUACUCCUACAUGGCAAGAGAAUUCAGAGCAAGAUCCUGUCUGCCCAGAUAGCACGAGCACAUAAGAAGCUGAUUGAAGUCGUCGACUUCAUUUUCAGCGUUUCCCACAAAUCAACCUGGAAGAGUAGCCAAUAAAGAAAGAUGAGCGAGAGAUAAUUCCACCGAAUCUGUAAUCGACCAUCCACAGAUCCGGGAGAUGGAGACCCACCUACCGCCUACCCAAAUCGUCAGAAUCCAAAAAAUCGUAGACGAAAACUAAACCAAAAAUGUGAAAGCAUUGUCGGAUGAAAAAGAGGAAAUCUGGUGGACCAUAGACGCCUCGUCCUCGGCUCCAACUAGCCAUCUAUUCUUGCCGCGACGACUGGAGAAUGGGGAUGAAGAUGAUGAAGAAGGCGAGCCAGGCACCUCGGCGAGACUCGGGCUGUUCUCCUGCUGCGCUGCUCCCGCCAUCGCCCGCUAGCAACUCCGCCGCUGUGAGAUUUCCCCCUGGCGGCGCCGGUCGGUUCCCCUGCCGCCAGUGCAAACAAAGGAGAUUAUGAGAGGACCCCCUCCUCCAACGGCGUCGUUUAAAGGCAAUUGACCUCUCUCUUCUAUAUGGGCUGACAGGCCCAUAUUAUUAUUGGGCUUCAUCCAAGGCCCAUUAUGCAUCCCGCGGCAAACCAGUCUUCUCCUCGUCAUUAUUGGGCUCAUUAUUCUGUUUAAAUGGGCCGUCUAAUGGAUCUAGCCCAAAAGUCGGUUAAAUAGGCGUUGGGCCUCAUGGUAUAUGAUGUUCUGAGAGAGAGAGAGAGAGAGAGAGAGAGAGAGAGCACUAGUAUUUAAGUACUUACACGUNNNNNNNNNNNNNNNNNNNNNNNNNNNNNNNNNNNNNNNNNNNNNNNNNNNNNNNNNNNNNNNNNNNNNNNNNNNNNNNNNNNNNNNNNNNNNNNNNNNNNNNNNNNNNNNNNNNNNNNNNNNNNNNNNNNNNNNNNNNNNNNNNNNNNNNNNNNNNNNNNNNNNNNNNNNNNNNNNNNNNNNNNNNNNNNNNNNNNNNNNNNNNNNNNNNNNNNNNNNNNNNNNNNNNNNNNNNNNNNNNNNNNNNNNNNNNNNNNNNNNNNNNNNNNNNNNNNNNNNNNNNNNNNNNNNNNNNNNNNNNNNNNNNNNNNNNNNNNNNNNNNNNNNNNNNNNNNNNNNNNNNNNNNNNNNNNNNNNNNNNNNNNNNNNNNNNNNNNNNNNNNNNNNGUAGUAGUAGUAGUAGUAGUAGUAGUAGAGAGAGAGAGAGAGAGAGAGAGAGAGAGAGAGAGCACUGAUUUUAAAGCUUACACGUGGCCGGUCGAGAUAAUGCCACCACUAUGAUCCGACGAGUGACAAAAGUCAAAUAUGGUUUUUUAUCGUCUGUUGACUUACAGAGUUACUAAAAACUAUUCUUGUAACAGCUAGUCAACGAGUUGUGUCCGUUCGAUCACCACCCUGGUUUAUGGCAAUGCCACCACCUGGGGAUGUCUUCAGAAUUAUGACGUGGCCUGCAAAAAGUCAAAAUUGAGAUACGUGCCAAAUAAAUGGGAGGCACCAUUUUUUUGGUAUUAAUGCCCGUGAUAGACUACAAGUGACGCAAGUCAACACUUGAAGGUGGAGUGCUCGGACGAACAAAAUAUAUUAACAGUCAACUAAAUCGCUGACUUGGAGAACAAAAUAUUAGCGUGACUAAAUAUGAUUAAGAGUCGAACAUAUCUCACGUGCGCCCAACUUUGGUCGUUGACCAGACAUUGUUAAAUUGAAGGUGCAUUUUUAGAAAGUCAACUAUGACGCGGAAUAUUGGCGGCUCAUUCUUUUUCUCGAUUUCCCACCGGCCGAUUUAAUUUCGUUGAAUUUUUCUUCUUUUUCCCAGCUCGAAGGCGACAGGUGGGAGCGGAAGGCGACAGUCAAAGGCCGAUCCCCUCAGUCAAGGCUGUCGCCGACCGUCCACAUUUAAUUAACAGAAUCAAGUUCUUCUGUCAGCAUCCUCCCCCAAGUGGUCUCAAAAGACAUAAAAAUAUUCACGUUAAACCCUAUAAAAAUAUUUAUUUUGUAAAUGCCUUCAAAACGUAUAUACACGUAUAUCCUUCACUCGGGGGGGUCGGGGAAAUACACGGUAAAAUGGUUGCAACCCCAACGCCAUGAAAUAAAAUAAAUAAUUAAAAAAUAUUAAUCGGUUUUAUAAGUUUAUAUGUUAUAAACUUAUUAAUUAUAAGUUUAUAAGUUUAUAUGUAUCUAGAUAUUAACGUAUGAUGAGGAUAUAUAUAGUAUACUUUAUUUAAAUGGGGUUUAUUGCAAUUAGGGAGGAGUAUUCAAUUAUUGGUACCGAUAAGCUUUUAUACGAGACACGCUCUGGUCGCACGUGCCAACUGGCUUCUCGAAUCCACCAUCCCCUUCCGUCAUCCCUCGCUCAUCAAGGAGAGGAGGAACCAGGAGGUGUGCUGGUGCGCGGCAGGGAAGCGCAGGUGACUGCGGAGGUCAUCGCCGCCUUCCAUGCGAGCUCUGCGGACAGGAAGGGGCCGACUGAAGCUGAAGCUUGGCUGGCGGCGUGCCUCGACGGGACUGCAUAGGUUUCUCUCCCCUCCCCCCUUUCAUCCCCUCUCUCUCUCUCUCUCUGUGCUUGGAGAGUGUUCGAUUCGGAUUUGAGUCGGGGGGUAUGGAGAAGGGCGCUGAUCCGGCUGCGCAGAGCAGCAGCAGCAGCAGUAUUAGCGGCGCCAAUAACGGAGGCGGGAAAUCGGCGGCCGUCCAGAACGCCCUCAGGCAGCUUCACAAGAGUUCGCAUAAGAUUUCCAAACCUACCCCGAGGCAUUGCAGCGGCGGCGGGGGGGACGGGGGAGGUGAUUCCGGCUGUCCAAGCGACGUCAAAGCACCGUCUCCUUCGUUACCGGUGCCGGCGGUGCCGGCGGUGCCGCCGCCGCCGCCGCCGCCAUCUGCUAGCCAGCAGCCUUUGCCGCAGCCGCCGGUGUAUAACAUCAACAAGAACGAUUUCCGUGAAGUGGUUCAGAAGCUUACUGGCUCCCCGGCCCACCAGCCCCGUUUAUCCUCUCCUCGGGAACUGUCAAAGCCGGCCGCGGCCACCGCCGGCGGAGGCGGCGCCUCCUCCCGUCUGCAAAAGAUCCGGCCGCCGCCCCUCGCUCAGCUCACCCCCCGUUCCUCUCCGUCUCUAGCGCCGGCCGCGGCGGCCGAUCCAGUUCACGUCUCCUCCGGGGGCUUCGGCGUGGGUGCGUGGCCUAGGUCAUCGCCUCUCUCCCCCCUUCCACCGCUUCCGACGGUCAGCGCCGCCGCGGAGUCGCCAAUCUCUGCCUACAUGCGGUGCCUCCGGAGUGGAUCUGUUCCAAAUCAGCAAAGCUCACUGCCGUCCCCGGGAGCCGGCUCUUCCGGUUCUGCUCUGCUCCCACUGGGUCCGCCUUCGCCGCUGGGUCUCGGCUGCGUGCCAUCUCCAAGAUCAGCUUACCAGAUGAUGCUCUCGUCGGGUCUGUUCCUCCCGCCAUCGCCAGGCCUGCCAUUGCCCAGCCCGAGAUGGAAGGACCAGUAGAACGUUGAGGAGGAGCUCCCCGCGGAGGAGGUAAGUAGGAUCCCAGCGCCAGAGAUCUUCAGGUUGCCCCUGGCGGCAGUUUUGUUUGUAAAUGGCUACCCGCCUCCCCAAGCUUUACAUUCUCUCGGCUUCCAUAGAAUCAUCGUUCAUCAUUGUAUAUAUAGAAAAUGGAUGGCUGAUCGCGCAAGAUCCUGCACCCUCGACACCGGUGCGACCUGAAUCUUACAUGGGUUCUCUCUCUAUUUUUGUUGAUUUCUCCGGUUGGCCGCGUUCUUCUUGCUCAUGUUUUUACUCGGGUUCCCAGCUUCGAUCUGUUGCUUGCUUAUUAUUCUAAGCUGGUUCCUGAUCAGAGCUUCUGAUCUUCUUUGAGAUCAUUCAUUUGGAGGGUAGCAAUCCUCAGAAUCAUCUACUGCUCUCAGAAGCGUUUCAUCGCUGAUUGGUCCUUCUCAAUCUGGUUCCUUUGGGGACUUCUGACCGCGGCAAGGCCUUUUGAUCCAGCUCAUGCCGGCUGAUUCAUGCCCAUUCCCAUCCCUAGUCAGUUCCUCCCAUGACUAGCAAACGGGUGGUGCUUCCUGGAACCCGAGGCCCUGGUCGCCCCUGUCUAUGAAUGUUUUUCAGCUUGCUGUAUUUAGACUCCCGGGGAGUGGGGGAGUUUGAAGAAGCAGCCGGCAGUUGUGAUUUUUUUUCCUGUAUGGGGAAAGAAUUAGGGGCCCCAGAUGUUGAAUCAAGGAAAGUCUUGAAGGGUUCGAUUUUUUCUUUUUUGUCGAACCCAGUUGAGUUUCUCCCAAUAUUUAAGUGCAGAUUAUGUUACAUGUUUUUGUGCUAAUUAGUAUCAUAUUUUUACAGGUUCAAUUGGAUAUCAAUUGGGCUCUAAAAUUAUUAGCCCUUCUGCAUGCGAUUCAACAAAAAAUGAUUUAAUCAGGACGAAAUUCCUGGUUUAUUUCUGAUUGAAAUCCCAUAUUUGAGAUUUUUUGUGGAAUUACUCUGAGCUGUCUGCAAGUUCCUCCCUAAAUCUGCAUGUAAUUAGAUAGGAAAUCUAUUCUUGGCCCCCCCAAUCAAAAGGCCUCGUCUGGUUUUCUCACACAGAAGCUCUCUGCUGCCUUCCUCUUUCUGUCAUGCCUCUUCUUCCAUGUAUGCUCUCCUCACAUAGCAUUAUUCAGAACCUUUCUUAAUCUGGGUAUGGUUGUAUUAUGGAAUCAGUGGGGUAAAAAUAGAAGCUUUCUCUCUCUCUCUCUCUCUCUAGGCUUUAUAAUAUAGGGGAAGGCCCAGCCCAUUUGGGGGCUCAUUCUUUGUAGACUCCUCCCAGGUAUUCGGGGAUAUAACCAGCCGGCUAGAUGGACGGCCGGGUGACGUGGAAUUCGAAGAAUUAUUUUGAAAAUAAUUAUUCCACUAUAAUAUUAUGUGGUUUGACGGCGAGGAGGGAAGCUGCCUCUUCGGACGUCGCCACGGUCGUCGUCACCGUCUCGGCGACACGUGGUACAGACCCACUGCCGCCCCGACAAGGACCUUCGAUGUCGGAUCUGCCUUCGAAGCUUAUCCUUUAAUUCUCACCGACUCUGCCCAUUUUAUUUUAGGUAAUUUAUACUGCAAUGUUGAAGAUAAUUAGGGUUAUUAUUAUUAUUACUAUAAUUAGUAUAAAAAUAGGAGUUUGGAUAUAAUGGUUAACGUUACUGGGCGUAUGUCGGCAAGGGCCCAGUAGCCUCGGCGGCACAUGUGAGCCUCGGCGGCUGCUUGCCUCUCGCAGCUGGCAGCACCGGAACGGUGGCGAGAGCUGAAGGGUCCAUCUCCAGGUGUCUGGUUCUGGAGAUCCACUGCCACGCGUCUCCGAGGGGCUCGUCGGGGGCGGGGGUGGGAGGAAAAGGGGGAAGAGAGAGAGAGAGAGAGAAGAGAGAGAGAGAGCAGUAGUCCAUGUCGCCAACGGAGAAGCCAGUCUGAACGGGUCUCGGGACUUGGAUGGCGAUGGGUUGCUUCUUCUCGAAUCAACUGUUUAACGCCGAAAAGGAUGCUCCCUACUGCAGGGCAGCUCCGGACGGCCGGUAUUUGCUAAAUCGACGGCGUGGGGAUUGGACGGAGAGGGGGGCCCUUUUGGGAUCGCCCAUUAUCUGUUUGUUGUUUUGUCUCUCAGAUCUUCCCGGCCCUUUUAUAGGCAGUGGGGGGAGGGAUAUUGGGGUGACCUGAACAGGGCGAUCGCCGGGUUGAAAUACCUGGUCUCAGGGAGCGGGUGGCGAUGGAGAGGUAUGAGGUGUUGAAGGACCUCGGGUCUGGGAACUUCGGAGUGGCCAGGCUGGUCAGAGAUAGAUGGACCAAGGAGCUCUACGCCGUCAAGUUCAUAGAGAGGGGUCAGAAGGUCUGUGCCCAUCUUCGUUUCCCUUCCCUCUUCACUCUUGUGGGCCAAAUUACGCCCUCUGAGUUCUCUGGAUUCAUCCUGCCCUGCUCAUCAUGUUCUUCUUCCUCCUGGUGUCUGGUUAUCAGCAGAUCGACGAGCACGUGCACAGGGAGAUCAUGAACCACAGGUCGCUGAAACAUCCGCACAUAGUCAGGUUCAAGGAGGUGCCUCUCGCUGUUCUUCCCUUAUUCCUCGCUAUAUUUUCUGCACACACAUAUUGGGUAUUUUCACCUGCCCGAAUUUUUUGUUCGGUUCUUCGUGUUGGUGCUCGCAAGAUGUGGGUUCACUGGGUCUUAUCUCCGUCUCGUUCGGGAUUGAACGACGAUCUUCUCCCCGGAGCGCCGAAUAUUUUUCCAAGAGCUGAAUCUCGUUUCCUUUCCCUUGAAGGUGCUGUUGACUCCUACCCAUCUCGCUAUCGUUAUGGAAUACGCCGCCGGUGGUGAGCUUUUCGAGAGGAUAUGCAAUUCUGGGAGGUUCAGCGAAGACGAGGUAAAUAAACGGACCUCUCUCUCUCUCUCUAUAUAUAUAUAUAGAUAUAUAUAUAUCUCGAUUUUGAGAGGUUUUAACACAAUAAUAAUAAUAAUAGUAAUGUUUUUCAUUGAUAUUUUGACAGGCAAGGUUCUUCUUUCAGCAAUUGAUAUCAGGGGUCAGCUACUGUCAUUCCAUGGUACUCGUAGAGUCGCAUCACUGCUGCAUUCUUCUUGGUUUUUUUUUUCCCUGGAAAAACAUGAGAGCGGUCAAACCUAAUCUGGGUUUUUUUUCUUUCUUUCUAAAUUUAGCAAAUUUGUCACAGAGAUCUAAAGCUAGAGAACACACUGCUGGACGGGAGCAUGGCUCCUCGCCUCAAAAUAUGUGAUUUUGGGUACUCGAAGGUGCGUACUCGAAACCGUUAGCCCACCCAACUGUGUUUACACCUACCCUCGUGAAAACCAGGGGCCAGUUUUUUCGGUGUUCCACUGACAUGCCCUGCUGGCAGUCUUCGGUGUUCCACUCUCAGCCGAAGUCAACGGUCGGCACGCCGGCUUACAUCGCCCCGGAGGUGUUGUCCAGGAAGGAAUACGACGGAAAGGUGGCGGCGGCCUCCCUCACUUUUUCCUAUUUACAGGCGAUCUGAGUUUCUUCUGCAUGCGAGAUCCUGAAUUCGUUCAAUCCCCAUUUCCGGGUUGCUCAGAUCGCAGAUGUCUGGUCGUGCGGCGUGACCCUGUACGUGAUGCUCGUCGGAGCUUACCCCUUUGAGGACCCAUCCGAUCCGAGGAACUUCCGGAAGACGAUCGGCGUAAGCUUUCUCAGACUUCCAUUCGCUCACUGCAAACCAAGUGUUUCGGAUCUGACGACGCGAUUCUUUAAGAAAAAGAAACGAAAAAAAAGAAGAAAUCUUGCAACGCGGAAGAGAUGGGGCUCUUCUGUUUUUGAUCGGUCUGCUCUCAUGGGCACUGGAUGACGAUAUUUCACCGUCGAUUGGCAGAGAAUUCUCAACGUCCAUUACUCCAUCCCCGACUUCGUCCCGGUGUCGCCGGAAUGCCGGCACCUGCUGUCGCGCAUAUUCGUCUCCAGCCCCGAGAAGGUAAUCCUCCACCGCCUGCUUUCCUCCGGCGGCGCCGCCGCUGCCCUGCGGUUCCUCAGAGACGGACGAUUCCUUGUUUCCCUUGCAGAGGAUAACCAUCCCGGAGAUUAAGGAGCACCCGUGGUUCCUGAAGAACCUGCCGAUGGAGCUCUCCGAGGACCCGCUGGACGACUGCUCCGGCGGCCCUGCGCAGAGCGUGGAGGAGAUCCUGAGCGUGUUGCAGGAGGCGAGGAAGACCCCCGAGGGGCGGGUGGUCGCCGGCGGGGGGGCCUUCGUCGGCGGGGGGAGCAUGGACCUUGAUGACCUUGACGCCGACGGCGAUCUCGACGACCUCGACGCCAGCGGAGACUUUGUGUGCUACCUGUGAGGCAGCUCCGGCCGGGGAUGGUGGUGGCGGCGGCGGUUCCUCCCGGCGAUCGCGGCGGCGCUGCUGUCGGGCUCUUUCAUUUGUGUGGGUGGUGGUGGGGAUGCGGCUGUGUAAGAUAUUCUUCUGGUUGCCGUAGAGUUUCGCAUCUCGAGAAACAAAUUUUGCAGCUUCCAGUUCCAGAUACCUCGUACCUCGGAGAGGGGGAGCGACAGAGAAGAGAGAUAGAGAGAGAAGAAAGGAAAGAGAGAGCGAGAGAGAGAAGAGAGAGAACAGGGAGAGAGAACGAGAGAGUGACAUAGAAGAGAGACAGAGAGAGCGAGAGAGUGACAUAGAAGAGACACAGAGAGGGCGAGAGAGUGACAUAGAAGAGAGACAGAGAGAGGAGAGAGCGGGAGAGCGGGAGAGAGAGUGAGAGACAGAGAGAGGAGAGAGCGGGAGAGCGGGAGAGAGAGUGAGAGACAGAGAGAGGAGAGAGCGGGAGAGCGGGAGAGAGAGACAGAGACAGAGAGCGACAGAGCGAGUGAAAGAGAGACAGCGAGAGAGAGAGAAAGAGAGAGAGAGCGAGAGAGCGUGCGACAGAGCGAGUGAAUGAGAGAAACAGCGAGAGAGAGAGAGAGAGAGAGAGAGAGAAAGACAUGGGACAUGNNNNNNNNNNNNNNNNNNNNNNNNNNNNNNNNNNNNNNNNNNNNNNNNNNNNNNNNNNNNNNNNNNNNNNNNNNNNNNNNNNNNNNNNNNNNNNNNNNNNNNNNNNNNNNNNNNNNNNNNNNNNNNNNNNNNNNNNNNNNNNNNNNNNNNNNNNNNNNNNNNNNNNNNNNNNNNNNNNNNNNNNNNNNNNNNNNNNNNNNNNNNNNNNNNNNNNNNNNNNNNNNNNNNNNNNNNNNNNNNNNNNNNNNNNNNNNNNNNNNNNNNNNNNNNNNNNNNNNNNNNNNNNNNNNNNNNNNNNNNNNNNNNNNNNNNNNNNNNNNNNNNNNNNNNNNNNNNNNNNNNNNNNNNNNNNNNNNNNNNNNNNNNNNNNNNNNNNNNNNNNNNNNNNNNNNNNNNNNNAGAGAGAGAGAGAGAGAGAGAGAGAGAGAGAGAGAGAGAGAGAGAGAGAGAGAGAGAGAGAAGAGAGAGAGAGAGAGAGAGAGAGAGAGAGAGAGAGAGAAAGACAUGGGACAUGCAAUGGAAUGGUCCGAAUAUACCUACACACGCCCGCAGAUUAUCACACCCAGAGUUUGGAGUCAGUAUAAAGGGUUUGCGAUCAGCCAACAUAAUAAAUUCGCAAGAUUUGAAAGGAGAUCAGUCAAUGUAAUAGGAGAUGCUAGGAUUAUGUGCUCCACAGUUAACAAAUCUACGAGACUAAUAUAAGAUGUAGUCACUUACUCACGGGGUAGUUAACAAUAAUAAAAAAUAUGUAGACAAACAGCAGCACAAUGAUGAUAUGAUUGGUAUACUAGAAGACAAAUUAUUCAAUAGGAAGGGGAUUUUAAGGGAUAACUUGCCGCCACUAGACGGGCAUAUUAGAGCUUACUUGUAGUCAUCUGCUUAUGAAACACGAUAGCAACAACAAUCAUAGGGUGGGCUGUUGUUGAGCUGUCCUGGGUUUCUAUUCAGUGGUCUAAAAUAUAUGGAGAUAGAGAGAUAGAGGAUGAGAGGGGAAAGAGAAGAUAGUGGUGAGCGGUAGUGGGAUGAUAUAGUGAGAUAAAUUGAGGCUGCCAUGACUUUCAUAGUUGUCGCUUCGCAUGACAGUGAUGCAUGACCUUUUGGGCUCCUCCAUAAACAGAUGACACAUGUAAAUUUUUCUCAAAAUUCUUAUUUUAUCAUAUUCUAGGAUUUAUGGGGUUUUAUACUCCACUCAAAAGUGCAAAUAGAGGGAACACAUGUUAAUCUAAAAAGUCAUCCUUAAAUGAGCAUGGGCCAUUGUAUUGUCGAAUAGGUCGACGGUUUAGGCUCCUUUAUUCUCCGCCAACUCUUCCGAUUAGGAAAGAACUCAACUUUGUCAAAUAGAGGAGGGGAGGGGGGGUUGUCAACGUUGUGAUGAUUGAAUAUAGAUCAAUAUAUUGUAGCUUCUCUUGAGAGAUGCACAAGUCAUCAGAUGGCAAACAUGCUUUUUAACAUAUAAAGAAUUGCUGCAAAUCAUGAUUUCAAGUAGAUAUAAUUUAGACAUCUAGUGUAACAUCAAUAUCAUCACAUCAUGCUUCAAAUAUGGUAGGAGGACAUUUAAUGAGUGGUUUACUCAUAGAAGAGAGUCAAGCGUGAACAUGUCAUUGAGAAUGACAAGUGGGUCAUGAUAUGUAGCUAUAUUAAAAAUGUUAAAGGUGGAGUUAAUUCUUCAAUCAUGAGGCAAAUCGAUCAUGUACACAUUAGAAUAUGCUUCAAGAUCUUGAAGGGUCAUGUACAACGAGCUUGAAACUUAGUGAUAAUAUUUGGUGGAUAUCAUUCGGACAUAAUUUGAACCAUGAUAAAAUCACCUUAUUUAAACUCUUCAAAUCAUUUGUAAGAAUCAUUUAAGUAUUAUAAGUUUCAUUAUUAAGGUUAAUACGAGUAUGCAUAUUAUCAUGCAUGCUUCGAAUAUGCUGUGUAAGGGACUCUAUAGAUCAUGAAACUCUAUACUACAUGAACAUUAGGAUAAAGUCAAUAGGAUAGCGAGGAUUGGAUUCAUAAACUAUCUCAAAAGGGUUUAAGCCUGUAAUAUGAUCAACAUUAGUGUUAUAUAUAAAAUCAACACGUGAAAGAAGAAAAUCUCAAGUGCUUAGAUGAUCAUGGACUAAACAUCGAACUAGGUUCCCAAAGCUUUAAUUAUCGACCUUUGUUUGCCGAUCUAUUUGUGAGUGGAAUGUUGUAGAAAAUUAUAACUAAAUGUCAUAAUGUUUUUCAAAAAAAAUUGGUAUAAUAUCAUCAAUGUAUAAUUUGACUACUUUGGAGUCAUCUUAUGUCUUUGAACAAAGUAAAAAAUAAGUCAUUUUUUGAAGAUUGCUCAAACACUACAAAGAUAGAAUCAUAAUUUUUAUUCUAUUUUAGGGAAGCCUAAAAUAAAAUCUAUACUUAUGUUUUCCCAAAGAUGAUAAGGAAUCAAAAGAGGGUGUAGAAUCAUGUGUUAUAUUUCAUGUGUUUAGAGAGGAGAUGUGUAACAUGAGGUGCAUAAAUGACUCUAUUGAAAUAAAUAUCCAUCUUAAAAUAUGUAAUCAUUAAUAUGAGCAAAAUCUGAAUAAUCAAUGUAAACUUCUUUUAGCUGAUUGAAGCCAAUUUCUUUGACAUUCAUCAAGGACAAUAAGUGUGCUUAAUGGUUGAAGGCAUUAAUUAUUUUAUUUUCUACCUCAUAUUUAUGUUUAAGGACAAAAGUAUAGGCUUAAAAGAACUCUAUCUAAUGUCUAUGAUGAGGGUUAAAUUUUCAUUGAGAAUUAAGGUAUCUUAAUUCUUCAUGGUCAAAAUAUAGGAUAACUUAUUACAACAAUAAAUAGUGAUACCAAUAAUGGAUGGCCUAAAUAACAACGUAUAACUCCUUAUUAUAUAACAUAUUUUAAUUUAGCCUCAUUUAAUUUUCACUAAGAAAAGCGAUGGUGUGACCAUCUUGACUCAAAACAUUAUAUUGAUGUUAGAGGUGUCAUAAAUUACCUUAAAUACUUUGUUAAUAUCAAGUAAAUGAAUGACAUAAGUUUUAGUCAUCCUCUCUUCAAUCUCUUUGAAGGCCUUAGUGACUAUGUUGGGUCAGUCAAAUAUUUCUUUCUUUAGGCUAGUUGUAAUAGGGGUCAUAAGAGUGUUAAAAUUUUGAAUAAAGUGACGAUAAAACAUGGCCAACCUAUGAAAACUUCGAAUAUUAUGUAGAGUACAAUGUUCAUGCAAUUCUGUGAUGGCUUUGGCUUUCUCGAGGUUUGUUAAAACAUUCAUUGAAGAUGUUAGAAAGCCUAAAAAAAUAAUUUGAUCAGUCAUAAAAGUAUAUUUUUUAGAUUGAUAUAUAAAUUAUCUUUUCUAAGAGUUGUAUAGACUACAUGUAGAUGUUCAAGGUGAUACUCAUUUUUCUUAUUGUAAAUAAGGAUAAUAUCAAAAUAAACUAUGAUAAAUUUACAUAUAUAUGAUAUUAAAACUUAGGCCAUCAAUCACAUAAAUAUACUUGGGGCUUUAGACAAGCCAAAUGGCAUGACCAACCACUCAUAGAACCCUUCCCUAAG
rnacentral:lncRNA from 1 species